AUGAGCGGAGGCGUUGACCCGGAGACCCCACCCAGUAGCGGCGGCAGCGCCACCGGUAGCCCCAUGGCCCGGAAGCCGCCGCGUCACCAGCUCACGGCCAUACGCCACUGCGCCAGCAGUGCGCGCAUCGCCGCGGCCUCCACAGACUUGGGCUUGGAUUCGGGAACACUGAGCUUGAUCUCACCAGCAGACAUCCGUCCCACCUUCCUGCCGGUCUUCCGGUCUGGGAGCUGCGCCAAUAUCGGGCCAAAGUCCUACAUGGAGGACGAGCAUGUUUGCAUCGACAGCCUCAUCGAGCACCUCGGAAUGCGUACCCCUGCUAUCCCUGCACCGGGUGCUUUCUAUGGGGUGUUUGAUGGUCAUGGUGGUACAGAUGCAGUCUGUUUUGUUCGGAAGAACUUACUGAAGUUCAUAAUCGAAGAUGGUCACUUCCCCAACAGCAUGGAGAAAGCAAUCAGAAGUGCAUUUGUAAAGGCUGAUCACGCGAUUGCAGAUUCCCAUUCUCUUGACCGCAAUUCAGGGACCACAGCAUUGACGGCCCUUAUUUUUGGCAGGACAUUGCUUGUUGCAAAUGCAGGAGAUUGUCGAGCUGUGUUAGGAAAGCGAGGACGAGCUGUUGAGCUGUCAAAAGAUCACAAACCCAACUGCAAGAGUGAAAAGCUCAGGAUUGAGAACCUUGGUGGCAUAGUCUUCGAUGGCUAUCUCAACGGUCAGCUAUCUGUAGCAAGGGCAAUCGGUGAUUGGCACGUCAAAGGUUCUAAAGGGUCUAUAAGCCCUCUCACUCCAGAACCUGAAUUUCAGGAGGUUAGACUCACCGAGGAAGACGAGUUCUUGAUAAUAGGAUGUGAUGGCCUUUGGGAUGUGAUGACCAGCCAAUGUGCCGUGUCAAUGGUACGGAAAGAGCUGAUGGCCCACAACGAUCCGGAAAGGUGCUCAAGAGAACUUGUUCAGGAAGCGCUCAGACGAGACACUUGCGACAACCUAACUGCGGUAGUUGUAUGCUUCUCAGCAGACCCACCCCCUCAAAUUGAGAUCCCAAGAUUCCGAGUACGGAGAAGUAUUUCGAUGGAAGGGUUGCAUAUGCUAAAGGGUGCUCUCGACAGUAAUGCCUGA
rnacentral:rRNA from 1 species